rnacentral:lncRNA from 1 species
CCCGCAACCCGCAUCCAGCACGCGCACAGUGCGUAGCACAACACUGUGCGUGUCAGGUAGCCUGCUCGCGUGUAGUGCGCGGCGUGGCCACCUCUGCAUGCACACAACAGCGCACUGUCAUCGACGGAAAAGCCUUGUCCCGUUGGUCGAAUGGCCACUCUUGGCCUUUUUUUUUUCUUUUGGCCAUGCGUGGUGGGCCCCAAAUCCACCUCUUCACUCUAAUUCACCAAUUUUUGCCUAAUGACACAAAUCCAGCCUUCCCUUUUUCUGUUUAAACCUAUUCCUUUCCAUUUCCUCU